rnacentral:rRNA from 1 species
GGUUAUGGCCACACCGCCCUGAACGUGCCCGAUCCCGCCUGACCUCGGAAGCUAAGCAGAGUCGGGCCCAGUCAGUACCUGGAUGGGAGAACUCAUUUUUUAAAUUGAAAGAAAAGAGAACCCAAGAACUGAUAGUUC